GAGCAGAUGAUGUGAUGGAACAUAUAGACCACUGAGAUCUUUUUGGUCUUUGACGUCUCUAAAAUUGAGCCUUUUAAAACUGAUGGCUAG
rnacentral:snoRNA from 1 species